CUUGCUUGGAUCAAUAAAAAUUUUAUUUUCCAAAGUUAUAAAACAAACGGACGUGCAGAAAUUCGCAAAAACGGCGGAUUAAAAUUUUAAUCCAGGGUUAGCUGGCGCGAUCAUGCUCUGGACAACCGAUCCCUACCAGGUCCCUAUAUACUCCAGAUCCCAUGCACCAAGGAAGGAAACAUGCAUGCAGUGCGCAGAUGAAACUGACGACGGUGAAGAAUCGUAGGUAAGCCAACCUAUACUAAUAUUCACUCACCAUUUAUGAUGGUGUUGAGCACUCUCCGACAUUUGGUGAAUCAAGACACACUUAUAAUUAUCAUACAGAUUUAUCGAACAUGCCAUUUUUGGCGCUAUAUACAAAUAUAUCAGCGACAUAGUUAUUACGUCACAUCAAAAUGGCUUCCUGUAUGUAUCUAAGGAUUUUAACAUGAAAAGUACAAAGAUGUUUUAAAUGAUGAAUAUAGUAAGUAGGUCGGACAAAUGGCUAUAUUAAUGUUUCAGUGAAAAUUUUUCAUUAAUGACAUUUCCAUGCAUGCAUGUAUAUAUUAGAUGUAAAGCAUCUGCAAUCGAAAAAUCACAACAAAAUGUUGCUUAAUAAAUCCAAUGUUCUUUAAAACUAUCCUUGUGAUGUAUUGACUGUAAAUUUGUUUUGGCUUUCCCUAAAGCUCCCCAACAGAGUAAAAAAUUGUUUAUGCCAGCAAACAUUAACUCGAUAAAUCAAACGGUGAAAUUUGUCCCUACCUAUAUACAUAUGACAAAAAUUACAAUGAUCGCAUAUAGCCGGGCAGAGUACAAAAUUAUUGUCAAUGGAAUCAUUGUACAAAUUAGUUUAAGGAACUCUUUCGAUGCUUCAAAGAGAGUCCUCAAGCAAUGGGAAACCUCUAGAAAGCCUUAUCAAACGAGACAAAAAUAAAAUCCAAACGAAAUGUGGGAGAUAAGAUAGCAACGACACGGGACGCGGACAAUUCUUGCGCCAAACAGAUCU